GCUGGGUGUGGUGGCGCAUACCUGUAAUCCCAGCUACUCAGGAGGCUGAGGCACAAGAAUUGCUUGUACCCAGGAGGUGGAGGUUGCAGUGAGCCAAGAUUGUGCCAUUGCACUCCAGCCUGGGCGACAGAGCAAGACCGUGUCUCCC
rnacentral:SRP_RNA from 1 species